rnacentral:lncRNA from 1 species
AUUUACUUUACUCCAGCACAGCUGACAUCAGGAACUGUCCGUAUAAUCAAUACAGUAGGCUUAUUGACCUAAACCUUCUGGAAAUAAAUAAAUACUGUCACGAACAGUCCUCUCUCAGGGAAACAGAAACACCUGACUUUAAACAGACUUUUAGAAAACACAUCUCUUAUGAAAUCUCUUGGGAGAAGGAGUUCUUUUAGCCUCCCAGGGCAUAGCAAGCAAAGCAAGCAAGGGCUAACACUGCAGAAGUGAGCUGGAUGCCAAACAACAAUGAACAGAAGAGAGAGAGAAAGAGAGACAGAGAGAGAGCUUUAUUUCCCAUCUCUGAAGAAGACCGUGGACCUGAAAGAGCACCCUGAUAUGAUGAUAUUGGAUCAGAAACUGAUGGUCCUUCUGCCAUUGAUGUUGGAGUUUGGUGAAGACACACUUACAACUAGACAAUUCACAAAAUCUAUCUACAGAAAGUGAAAUAACCACUUGAAUGAUGCUGUAUCAACUGCACCUGUAGAAAAAUACAGACUUUGCCACUGCUUUCACUUUAACCUAUAACAAUACAAGAUCCACACGAGAAUUCUAUUGCUGUUGAAGCUUAAGAUGAAAGUGCCAGCAGCCAGAGACAUCAUUUCAGUGUAAAAGCUAAAAGAGAAGAGAGAAAAGACAAUGGCAUGUCAAUACUAGCUUGCAAAUAGGGAAUGAUGUUGCUAGAGAUUUUGCUUCAUGAAAUUCCAUAUCCUUUUCAAAAGUAAAAUAAUUGUAAUGUCAAAUAUCUCUACAUUUUAUCUGUUACAAUAUGAAAAAGUAAAUGAGCCUUUCCCCAAUGCUAUUUUAGUUUCUUUCAAAAGGUUCUGUUUUAUCUAUUUCAAUUUUAGCCAUUUUUAGCUUUAUUUGUGAGAGGAAAAAUAAAGGCAGAUUUUAUCUCCUAUGACA